AUAAGCGUCAGUGCAGGAUCUUUCAAGCAGCAAUCUAGAAGUCCAGGUGCUUGCCCACACGGCGCCACUUUUUCUCCUUGUGUCUUCCUUGAUCGUCAUGCCUUGCCGGCGUUUUUGCCGGUGAGAACAAACUUAUUGAGGAAUCCAGCAUGGAAACCGGUACCGUCAAGUGGUUCAACGAUUCGAAGGGUUUUGGCUUCAUUACGCCUGAUGCAGGCGGCAACGACCUGUUCGCGCACUUCUCCGAAAUCCAGGGCAGCGGCUUCAAGUCGCUGGCAGAAGGCCAGAAGGUGCGUUACGUUGCCGGCGUCGGCCAGAAGGGCCCGGCCGCGACCAAGAUCGAGCCGAUCUGAGCGCGCCAAACCGAGUCGAGCUGAGCGCCCCGGCGCCAGUUUGAUAAGAAAAGCUCCGCUGCGGCGGAGCUUUUUUAU
rnacentral:sRNA from 1 species